GAGAGCGCUCGCGGCGCCGGGGCUCGCCUUCUGUGUCCCGCCCCGGCCACGCCCCCGGCCACGCCCCCGACCGAGCCACCACCGAGACGCCCGGGCCUCCGCGGAGCCUAGAGCGGACUGGAAAGCGCCUCCGCGGGCCGGGGAGAGCGGCCGCAGCGGCCGCGGACGUGCCCGCCGGCUCCGCGCGCCCCGCUGGCCGCCGAGGGAGCGUGGACGCGUUUGCGGCUCCUGCUCGCGAGGGCGCGACGCCGUCUCUCUCUCUCUCUCGGCGGGUGGUUCUGUGAACGGGAAGAGGGAAAAGACGUCUCUGGGAAAAGACGUCUUCGCUUUCUCCGCAUAAGAAAAGUCAUUCCGGGCCCCCGGCCGUCGCGCCAGAGAGCGUGAGAGCCGACGGCGGACACACGGUCGUGAGGGCACGGCAAGCCCGCGGCGGACUCCCGGGGCCGAGCCGGCGCGCACGCCUCCCGCUACCUUUGCAGGACCUGAACCGCUCGGAGCACCCGGGUACAGCACCGCGUGGAGCCCCGAACGGGCGCGGCCGGCCGCGCUGCCGUCGGGUUUGGCCCGGACCCGGUCGGCUCAGGGCGACUUCCACCCCCGCCGUUUCGGAUUCCCCUCGGGAAGACCGCGUCGGGAAUGUGCUCCCCCAGCUUGGAACUUGCCCGGUCCUGUUCGGAGGAGGAGACGCUGCUUGGGGAAGGACCCGCUUUUCUCUUCUUUUCCUGUGUCUGGCUCCACACCCACCAGAAGCGGACGCAGUUUUGGGUAACAGUUCUCCGGGGCGGCCCCGGACCAACAGCUGCCUCCCCUGGGAACUUGAUAAGCAAGCGCAUCCUGGGGCGACGGCGCACGAGAAACCGAGGGCGGGCCCCCCAGUCCGCGCCUGUGUCCCUUGAGGUGAUCCCGAUGCGCACUAGGCUUUGAAAACCGCUGUCCCGGGACGAGAUUUCUUAACCUCCGCGGUCGGGACGUGCUGGCCUGGGUCAUUCUUUGUGACGGGGCCUGUCCUGUGCAUUAGGGGUAGAGUCACCAGGUGAAGUGCAUGGUGAGCUGUUAACUUUGGUUUUCAGGUAAACAACAGUGUUAAUUUAAGAUUCACAGUUAAUUGAGAGUUCUGCAUUUUAUUUGGAGACACUACCCCUUGUGCAUUUUUUUUUUUUAAGAUUUUAUUUAUUUGAGAGAGAGAGAGAAUGAGAGACAGAGAGCAUGAGAGGGAGGAGGGUCAGAGGGAGAAGCAGACGCCCCGCCGAGCAGGGAGCCCGACGCGGGACUCGAUCCCGGGACUCGAUCCCGGGACUCCAGGAUCAUGACCUGAGCCGAAGGCAGUCGCUUAACCAACUGAGCCACCCAGGCGCCCCCCCUUGUGUAUUUUAUUUGCUAAAUCUGGCAGGUUUUUUUUUUUUAAGAUUUUAUUUAUUUAUUCAUGAGAGAGAGAGAGGCAGAGGGAGAAGCAGACCCCCUGCCGAGCAGGGAGCCCGAUGCGGGACUCGAUCCCGGGACUCCAGGAUCACGACCUGAGCCGAAGGCAGUCGCUUAACCAACUGAGCCACCCAGGCGCCCCACCUUGUGUAUUUUAUUUGCUAAAUCUGGCAGUUUUAAUUGUAGACUCUUUGAACAUCCCCGGCCUCUACCUAUUAGGCGUCAGUAGCGCGACACCCUUGUCCCUCCAGUUACGACAACCAAAAAUGUCUCCAGUGUCUUCGAUGUUAAAUAAAAAAUUCAACUGAGUAAAUUUUAAAGAUCUAAUUGGCUUUAUUAAAUAAUGCACAAAACAGGCAGCAUCCCAUCUAGCAAACAGAAGAAUGCUAUGAGGAAUUACACAAAAUGGAAAGUUUUUGUAGAAGGAAGGUGGGACGAGAAAGCUAUUAGCAAAAGAAAAGGAUUGUUCCCACUCGUGGGGAAAGGCAAGGAGUCUUAUCUGCAGUUGACCUCCUCUGCCUUUGGGGGAUGGAGAGGGCCCAUGGGGAAGACUGGCACUGAUCAAAAAACAUUCUUUACUGGUAAAGACUACAUUUCGGGUGGAGGUUGAAACUGCAAAUAUUAUUUUUUUAUGUAUUUUUUGUUUACAAUUUCUUUUUUUUUUCUUUUUUUAAAAGAUCGUAUUUUUUAAAGUAAUUUCCACACCCAACAUAGGGCUUGAACCCUCAACCCUAAUAUCAAGAAUCGCAUUCUCUAUUGAGUUAGCCAGGUGCCCCUAAACUGCAAUUAGAUUAGUAUUAAUCCUCAAUUUAGGAAUUCAACCUAAGUGACACCAUUUUGGGCCUGUGGUUUUCUUUGUAACAUUGGGGAAGCAAAAUCCCCCCUUCACCUCAACCCACCCUUACCUUCACACCUUGAGGAUCACUGCUUUAUAAGAUACAUGGGGCAGUGUACUUGAGAGAAAAGGGUGACUUAGCUUCAAAGAGUUUGUCUGUUGGGUAUUAAGGAGGGCACGUACUGCAUGGAGCACUGGGUGUUAUACGAAAACAAUGAACCAUGGAACACUACAUCAAAAACUAAUGAUGUGGGCGCCUGGGUGGCUCAGUUGGUUAAGCAACUGCCUUCAGCUCAGGUCAUGAUCCUGGAGUCCCAGGAUCGAGUCCUGCAUCGGGCUCCCUGCUCAGCGGGGAGUCUGCUUCUCCCUCUGAUCCUCCCCCUCUCAUGCUGUCUGUCUCCCAUUCUCUCUCUCAGAUAAAUAAAUAAAAUCUUAAAAAACAAACAAACAAAAAAAAAACUAAUGAUGUAUGGUGACUAACAUAACAAUAAAAUUAAAAAGCAAAAACAAACAAAAACAGUUUGUCUAAUAAACACAAAUACUCUUGGGAACAAACUAUGCUAAACAUCCAAGAAAGCCAAGUAGAAGAGGUUUUGCAUUUGCUUUUCUCCACAAGGUGUUUGUUUUUUGUUUUUAUCGUUGUUAAAAAGAAAAUCACAGGCUCAAAAUGGUGUCACUUACGUUACGGCCUCGAAUCAGUAAAGCAAUGCUUAAUGCCUAACCUAACUGCAGUUUCAACCAUACAGAAACAUAGCCUUCAACCAGUCAACAUGGGGAUUUCCUGGUCAGCACUAGGAAGUACACUGAUGGAUCCCUUCAGUUCUCCUUAGAAGGACAACUUUGCUUAAAACAAUGGGUUCGGGGCUAAUAAUUUCCUUUUUUCCCACUCCCUCAUAUCUUUAAAAACAUUUCCUUUUGUGUAGCCCUUUGGAGCUCCCCACUACUUGCCAGAUGGGAUGCUGCCUGAUUCAUAAAUCAAUUAAUAAAGCCAAUUAGAGGGCGCCUGGGUGACUCAGUUGGUUAAGCGACUGCCUUCAGCUCAGGUCACGAUCCUGGAGUCCCGGGAUCGAGUCCCGCAUCAGGCUCUCUGCUCAGUGGGGAGUCUGCUUCUCCCUCUGACCCUCCCCCCUCUCAUGCUCUCUCUAUCUCAUUCUCUCAAAUAAAUAAAAUCUUUAAAAAAAAUAAAAUAAAGCCAAUUAGAUUUUUAAAAUUUACUUAAGUUUUUGUUAUUUAACAGAUUUGGUAGCAGUGGUGGGAUUCGAAGCAAGCUUCUGGCAGCUUUCAGGGACAAUAAGAAAAAUGGGCAUGCUCUCUAUGAUCCCUUUGAUGUCACUGUCUUUCUCACAUGUAGGUGAGCCCUCACAAGGGCUGUAGGGCACAUCAACUUGAGCUGCUAGACAGUCAUUCCCAGAGCCAACUGAGCUUGUAUAUUUGCCUGGAGCACAACUGAGUGGCAGAGGGUCAGCCCAGGGCCAAGCGCCUAGCCUUUCAGACCACAGUUCCCUGGAUGGACAAUCACAGCAAGUUCCAUGGGAAUUGGCAAUGGUGUGCACACAAGGCCUUCUUGUGACCAGGAUGCGCUAACAUCUCUUGGUUACUGCCAAUACACUGAGGUGCACUUGUGUGUUUGUCUUGUUUGAUGUAGAUAAGGGCUUUUGCUAGUGGGGAUCUGAGAAGCCAAAAAGCUACAAAAAUUGGUGGGCAUAGGUCGAGCACUUAAAGGCUAUUAGAGCACUUGCCACUUCAAGAAGACUCCUGGGAUAGGAUAGGUGGGUCAUGGAAUGGGUUAGAUUGAUACUAGGUCACCCACCAACAUCAAGAAAACUUCUAUGCAACAAGGUACACUGUAAAACAUGCACAAACAUCAACCCUGUGGCCCAUCCCUUCCAGGUAUUAGUUCAGGUCUGAGAACCCAAAGGCUUAGCUAAUGGGAUCCUUAAAUUCUAGAGUCAAGCAUGCCACCUUCCAGCACAUCUGCUUAUUUUAUGUUCAAGAACUAUAGUCCUGAAAGUUGCAAAUAUCUAGCAAAAACAACAAAAUCUUACUAAGCUUGUUUUGUGUCCUGAGGAAUUUGGGUUGAUAACCAUCAGGUUGGGAGCCCCCGAAUAAGGCAGGACAUAAAAGUGAGUUGCAGGGCGCCUGGGUGGCUCAGUUGGUUAAGCGAACCUCCUAUAGUGAGUCUCACAGGGUUUGUCUCCCUCUCUGAUUUCUUCCCAUUCAAGUUCCCCUCCCUUCCCCUAUUGUCCUCCACGCUAUUCCUUAUGUCCCACAUAUGAGUGAAACCAUAUGAUAAUUGACUUUCUCUGACUUAUUUCACUUAGCAUAAUUUCCUCCUGUUCCAUCCAUGUCAGUGCAAAUGGUGGGUAUUCAUCCUUUCUGAUGGCUGAGUAAUAUUCCAUUGUAUAUAUGAACCACAUCUUUUUUUUUUAAGAUUUUAUUUAUUUAUUUGAGAGAGAAAGAGAGAGAGACAGCAUGAGAGUAGGGAGGGUCAGAGGGAGAAGCAGAUUCCCUGCUGAGCAGUGAACUGGAUGCAGGACCCGAUCCUGGGACUCCAGGAUCAUGACCUGAGCCAAAGGCAGUCGCUUAACCAACUGAGCCACCCAGGUGCCUCUGAACCACAUCUUCUUUAUCCAUUCAUCUGUUGAAGGGCAUCUCGGCUCUUUCUGCAGUUUGGCUCUUGCGGACAUUGCUGCUAUGAACGUUGGGGUGCAUGUGCCCCUUCUUUUCACUACAUCUGUGUCUUUGGGGUAAAUACCCAGUAGUGCAAUCGCUGGGUCAUAGGGUAGCUCUAUUUUUAACAUCUUGAGGAACCUCCAUACUGUUUCCCAGAGUCACUGUACCAACUUGCAUUCCCACCAACAGUGUAAGAGGGUUCCCCUUUCUCCACAUCCUGGCCAACAUUUGUUGUUCCCUGUCUUGUUAAUUUUAGUCAUUCUAACUGGUUUAAGAUGGUAUCUCAUUGUGGUUUUGAUUUGUAUUUCCCUGAUGGCUAGGGAUGUGGAACAUUGUUUCAUGUGUCUGUUAGCCAUUUGUAUGUCUUUGGAGAAGUGUCUGUUCAUGUCUUCUGCCCAUUUCUUGACUGGAUUCUUUCUUUUUGGGGUGUUAAGUUUGGUAAGUUCUUUAUAGAUCUUGGAUACCAGCCCUUUAUCUGAUAUGUCAUUUGCAAAUAUCUUCUCCCAUUCUGUGGGUUGCCUUUUAGUUUUAUUGACUCUUUCCUUUGCUGUGCAGAAGCUUUUUAUCUUGAUGCAGUCCCAAAAGUUCGUUUUUGCUUUUGUUUCCCUUGCCUUUGGAGAUGUGUCUUGCAAGAAGUUGCUGUGGCCAAUGUGGAAGAGGUUACUGACUAUGUUCUUCUCUAGGAUUUUGACAGAUUCCUGUCUCACAUUUAGCAUUAUCAUGAGAGCAAAAAGGCAACAUACAGGAAGGGGGAUAUAUUUUCAAAUCAUAUAUCUCAGUAUCUAUAUUUCCAGAAUAAAUUAAAAAACUUAUAAAAAAUAACGCAAUUUAAAAAUUGGUGAAGGAAUGGAAAUUUUGAAUCAGUAUAUUGUACACCUGAAGCUAAUACUACACUGUAUGUUAAAAAAUCAUAUUUAUUUAUUUAUUUUUAAAGAUUUGAUUUAUUUAUUUGAGAGAAGGAGAUAGUCAAAGAGAGCAUGAGUGGGGGGUGGGGAGAGGGAGAAGCAGACUCCCCACUGAUCAGUGAGCCAGAUGCAAGGCUUGAUCCCAGGAACCUGGGAUUCAUGACCUGAGCCAAAGGCAGACAGUUAACUGACUGAGCCACCCAGGCACCCUUAAUAACCAUAAUUUAAAUAAAAACUUUUUAAAAAAUGGGCAAAGGACUUGAGCAGACAUUUCUCCAAAGACGAUGUACAAAUGGCCAAUAAGCAUGUGAAAAGAUGCUCAACACCACUAAUCAUUAGGGAAAUGAAAAUCAAAAACACAAUGAGAUACCACUUCCCACCUUUAAGAGUGGCUGUAAUAAACCAACAAACCAAUAAAAAAUGGAGAAUAGUAAGUGUUGGUGAGGAACUGGAGAAACUGGAAAAUAUAUAUCUGUUGGGAAGGUGAAAUGCCUAAGCUGCUGUGGAAAAUAGCAGUCUCAAAAUGUUAAACAUAAAAUUACUAUAUGAGGGCGCCUGGGUGGCUCAGUCGUAAGCAUCUGCCUUCGGCUCAGGUCAUGAUCCCAGAGUCCUGGGAUCGAGUCCCGCAUCGGGCUCCCUGCUCAGCAGGGAGCCUGCUUCUCCCUCUGCCUCUCUCUCUCUCUUAUGAAUAAAUAAAAUGUUUUUAAAAAAUUUCUAUAUGAUCCAGCGAUUCCACUCUUAGGUAUAUACCCAAUAGAACUGAGAACAGGGGCUCAAACAAAUACUUGUACACAAAUAUUCAUAGCAGCACUAUUUACAAUAGCCUGAAUGUAGAAACAAUUCAAAGGUUAAUUAAUGGUUGAAUUGAUGAACAUAUGGUUGUGUGUAUGUGUGUGUGUGUGUGUGUGUG